rnacentral:lncRNA from 1 species
GCGCCACCUGCGGGGACGGGGCGAUGGGGCGGGGUCUCCCGCCGCACACCUGCUUCCGCCGGACGUGGAAGCGGAAGUCGUCGGCCUGGGGUCCAAAUCCUCGCCCUGCCCGCAGUUUCUAAAAGAGACGUUGGUCCCGGGUUAAGCAUCCUCCCGACCGGUUCCGCUUCAGGAAGAAGUGCGGGCCGCGGCCCGCGGGUUGCGGAACCCCAGGGCAGCUUUGGAGAGCGGACCGCAGCCGCCCCCAGUGCGGACCUGGUGCCCGCGCCGCACCGAGCCUGGGCGAAGUCUGGAGAGCACGGACGCGUCCGCACCCUCGGGGAGCGGGCCCAGUGGGGGUGGGAGACGGGGUCCGUGCCCACCGGGCCCACGGAGGGAUGGGGCCAGGGUGGACGCAUUGCCAGGAGUUCUAGGAGGCGGGAGCUGCAGUAGAUGGAGAAAGAGCCUUGGGUUUUAGCCUCAUUUACCAAAUCAGUGACGUCGAAGAAGCACUAGAGCCAACCUGGAGGGGUUCCCACCUUUGCGAUGCAGAUGACAGUGCCUGCCAGCUAGCGUUUACUAGAGGGGGCGCCCACCUCGUCUCCCUCACUUCAGUUCCUCCCUCCCUUCCUCUUAUUCUCUCCUCUAUUUAUUUUCUCCUUCCUUCAUCUUUAUUUUUUCUGAAAUGUAGUGUAAACACAGUAAAUUGCACAGACCUUAAAAGGAGAGCUGGGUGACCUUUAACAUAUGUAUACACAAGUAAUUAGCUCCCAGACCAAGAUAUAGAACAUUCCAUCACUCCUGGUUUCCACCUGCUCCCAGACAACACCUAUCCCUCAUUUACCGGACUUCUAUUGCUAUGUAUUGUUUUUGUCUGUUCUUAAACUUGAUAUAAGUGCAAUGGGGCAGUGUACUUUAUUCUGUCUGGUUUCUUUGUCCAACAUUAUGUCUGUAAGAUGCACGUUAUUGCAUGUAUCACUAAUUUGUAGUUUGUUUAUUAAUGAUAAUAUUUUGUUUUAUAGCUAGACUACAGUUAAUCAUUCCAUCAUUGAUGGGUAUAUUUGGAUUGUUUUCAUUUUCAGCUAUUUUGAAUAAAACUGCUGUGAACAUUUAUAUAGUCUUGGUGAAAAUAAAUGGAUGGAUGUUUUGUUGUGUUUGUACCUAGGAGAGGAAUUUUUGUCAUAGGUUAGGUGAAUGUUUAGUUUCAAUAGACACUGUCUAUAGUUUCUCAGAGGCUAAUAGUUGGUAUUUACAGUCUUUGAUACUUCUGAUGGGAAGCUAGGUAUAGUGGCCUGUGCCUGUAGUCCCAGCUACUGGAAGGCUAAGGCAGAAGAACCACUGGAGCCCAAGAGUUCAAGGCCAGCCUGGGCAACACAGACAAAAAACAAAAUAGAAUAAACCCAAGCGAAAAGACUCAAACACCAGAUUGUUUUCUUUUCUUUGGCUUUCUCCAAUACUGGAGAUUGAACCCUGGAGUGCUUUACCACUGAGCUACAUCCCAGUACUUUUUGUUUUUUGAGACACAGUCUUGCUGAGUUCCGAUACUCCUAUCUCAGCUUCCCAAGUUGCUGGGAUUACAGGCCUGUGCCACUUUGGCCACUGGUUGGUUGGGUUAUUAUUGAAUUCUGAGUGCUGGUUAUUAAGUAUUAUGUAUACAAACCUUUGUUAAAAAGAUUAUCUUCCUUUCGAUGAAUUGACUUUGCACCUUUGUGAAAAAUUAAUUGGCCAUAUUCAUCCAGAUUUAUUUCUGGACUUUUUUUUUCCUGUUCCAUUGAACUAUGUAUCUCUCCCUUCGCCAGUACUACAUUUUCUUGAUUACUGUAACUUUUGAGUAAUUUUUAAAGCUCUCAACUUUGUUCAGUUUUCUGAGCUGUUUGAAUAUAUUAAUGCCUUUGAUGUUCCGUAGAAAUUUUAGGUGUAUCUAUGUAUUUAAAGAGAAAAUCCUGCUAGGGUUUGAUUACAGUUGUGUUAAAUUUAUAGAUGAAUUUGAGGGGAAUUUUUUUUUUUUUUUUUGGUGCUGUGGAAUUGAACCCAGGGCCUUCUGUAUAUUAAGCAUAUGCCCUACUACUGAGCUAAAUCUCCAGCCCAGGAAUUGACAUCUUAAGUACACAGAGACUUAACCUGUGAUUACGGUUGUCUUUCCAUUUAUUUAGGUUGUCUUUGAUUUCCUUAGUGUACAUUUUGUAGUAGUCACUAUAUAUGUCCUUACAUAUAUUUUUCUUAAUUUUAGUUUCCAAAUAUGCAUUGCUGUUUUGCAAAAAUAUGCUUGGUUUUUGUAUAUUAACCUUAUAUGCUGCUAACUUGCUAAACUAACUCAUUAGUUCUAGAAGAUCAUUGUGGAAUUGAUCUAUGGGGUUUUCCUCAUAUUUGUGAGUAGUUUGUGAAUAGGGACACUUUUAUUUCCUCUUUUUUCAAUGUAUAUGACUUUUACUGGUUUAUUGCCCUGUUUCAUGAGCUAAAACUUCCUGUGCAGAGUUGAACAGAAGGGGUAAAAUGGACAUCUUUGCCUUGUUCCUGAUCUUUAGAUAGAAAUAUUCAGUCUUCACUUUAAGUAAGCUAUUGAAGGCUUUUCUGUAGGUGUGUAUAGUAGGUUUUUUUUUUUUUUUUCAUUAGUAUAAUGAAAUACCCAAGGCAGACUAACUUUAUUUUAAAAAGAUGUUUAUUUCACUUAACAGUUUUAAAGACUGAAAGUCCAAGAUCAGAAGGGCCUAUAGUACUAUGGCUGGUGUGCUUGUGAGAAUGAGAGAUCACAUCACCGAAUGGGAAUCCAGAGAGACUAGGGCUAGAAGCCCUUCUGAAGGCAUGCCCCCAGUUGACCCAAGGAUCACCCCUUAGGCCCCACCUCUUAAAGCUUCCACUGUCAACCUCAUCAAGGACCUAGCCUGCAACAAAUGAACACUUGAGGGAAACUUAAAUCACAGCUAGCUGGGAAUGGAGGCACACACCUGUAAUUCCAUCUACUUGGGAGGCUGGGGCAAGAAGACUGCAAGUAUGAGAACAACCUUGGCAACUUAGGAAGACCCCAUCUCAAAAUAAAAAGGACUGGGGAUGUAGCUCAGUGGUAGUGUAGCCAGUUUCAGUCUCCAGUAUGGCAAAACAACAAAAUAAAAACCCAAAACCUAAAUCGUGGCAGUGUGCUUUAUCAGCUUGAAUUCCUUUUAUUCCUCAUUUACUGAGUGCUUAUAUCUUGAACCGUUGAAUUUCUUCAAAUGCUUUUUUUUUUGCAUCAAUUUAUAUCUUGAGGCAUACAUUUAUUGGGCUUUAUAUAUUGCAUCUCCAGGAUAAACCCCACUUGGUUGUGGUGAAAGAUGUAAGAGUUCUUUGCAUAUAUUGAAUUUGAUAGUAUUUUGCAUCUGUAUUCAUGGAGGCUAUUGGCUCAUGAUUCAUUGAUUCAUGGGGGAUAUUUCUUUACUUUUUCUGGUUUUAGUAGCAAGGCAAUGCUUAACUCAUAAAAUGAAUUAGAAAGCAUUCCCUUUUCUUUGAUUUUUCUGUAAGACCUUUUUCUGUAAGGGCUCAUGUUAUUUCUUUAAAUCUUUGGUUGUAUUUGCUAAAGAAACCAUUUGGGGCCACAGAUUUCUUUUAGGAAGAUUUUUAGCUACAAAUUAAAUUUAUUUAGUAGAUAUAGGAUUAUUUAGGUUUUAUAUGUAUUCUUGGAUAAGAUUUGAUAGCUUAUGGCCAGCAAAGAAUUAAUACAUUUUAUCUUAGUUGUCAAAUUUAUGUGUACAAAGUUAUUUGUAUCAUUACUUAAUCAUCCUUUUAGUGUCUGUGGGGUUUGUGGUGAUACCUCAUUCAUUCCUGGUUUUGAU